CGUCAUGACAUUGCAUCGAUGUGACCUGUUUGUGUUGGUCUUGAAUCUCCUUCACUCCUCGAGAAAGAUUAGUCGGGUGCGUCCAGACAUUGCUAGUGAGCAUGUGUGAGUGAGUGUCUUGCACGUGAAAGAAGUUGCCAGCUGUGGUUAAAAUAUCGUUUCCUGUUUGGGACGCGGGAUUCUCUUGUUGCAUUGAACCCUCGUGAUUGCAUGGACUGCUCGCGAUUGCCUUGAACGUUUGUACAACGCACACGUUGGAUACGCUCUAAACCCGUGGCCGUUGACUCUGGUGCCAUCGGGGCUCGCUCAUGUCGCUGGCGUAUUUUCAUUUGAUUUGAGUCUAUUCAUUGUUUGUGUAUUUGGUUUAAAUGUGUGUGUAACAGAGUGAAAUUGAAAUUUCGUUUUGUUACGCUGCUUUAUUGUAUUAUUAUUAUUAUUAUUAUUAUUAUUAUUAUUAUUAUUAUUAUUAUUAUUAUUAUUAGGUAUUGUUUAUUUACCAAUUUAUUUAGUUUGUUCCUUUCUUUAUUUGGGUUGGUUGUAUUCUUUCGUUGUCUCGAUUUACAUUUAUCCCGCUCUAUUUCGCAAUUGAGUAUUGUUUAUUUGUUCUGUUGCU